rnacentral:lncRNA from 1 species
UCCCAUUAAGGUUUCUUAGUUCUCUUGCAUCCAAUCACAUGACAGGUUCCUUUGAAAUUUGUAUAAUGUACAUACUUAUAACAGUAAUCAGAAAAUACAAAUUGGUGAUGGUAAUACUCUUUUUAUCACUAAUAUUGGUUACCUAAACCCAAAUUUUUGGAAUGUGCUUUACCUCACCUAAACUAGCUUCCAAUUUAUUAUUUUUUAGUUAAUU